CAGUCAGACUAUACUUCCAAAGGGAGUUCCGCUCGGUUAGAGAGUAGAUCUAGGGUUUUGAGGAAAGCAAGAAUUUCCGCCUGCACAGCCGAAGAAGCGUUCACAAUUUUGGUGAAACCAUCCACUAAACAGCCUCUGGAAUCCCUGCAGAUGCACGCGUUUGUUGCCUUGCUUUCACCCGAUCGGACAUCUUCUUCAGUCGUUGCUUCUGCUUCGUUGUGUUGGGCGAAGGAGGCAUCAAUAUUAAUUUUGAGCAUGUCUGGGGGAGGGGGUUGCCAUCUGGCAGGGGGCGGUAGCCGAAAAUAUACUAAUUCCGGUCAUUCCAAAUACUCCAAAGAAGAACAGCAACUUGGCCGAGCAUCUUGAGGUGCGGCUCUCCAUAUUUGAGCUGUCCAUAGGCAGAGUAGUAGGAUGUGUUCGGUGGUUUCAGCUUCCAUAUGGCAAAUGGAAAGUAAAUGAUCAGUUUUUCCACCACAUUAAGCUAUUGGAAUGCAGAUUCUGCCCAACUGUCCCUGACAAGAUGCACGCAUUCCUCCUCCUCUAACCAGAAGGCUUCAUAUUUGAAGGCCCUCCCCUUCAUUCUCUUCGUUGUGCUUGUCGAAAGAAUGAUUGGGGUGUGAUCAGAACCAAUGGUUGGUAAGGCUACGCAUUCUGCUGUGGGAUAGGUAAUGCGCGAUUCUAAAUUACAUAACGCUCUGUCUAAACGCUUCCUAACCAGAUUUUCCCCUUCUCUGUUAUUUGUCCAAGUAAAGGCAAACCCUUACAUUCCAAAUCCAGCAAAGAGCAUUGAUGCAAAAAGUCUCUGAACACCCUACUUCGUCGUUUCUGAGGGCCCUUCUCCUGCAGGGUUAUUAGUGUUUGAGAAGGAGAGGGACCGGUAAGAUGGGGGUUUUGGGCACACUCUCCUCUCCUUCUUGCUGGAACUCUUGUUUACCAUAAAAUAUUUUCCCAUAAGGACUAAGCUCCCGUGCUUCCGCUCUAAGCCAAUGUCUAAAUCGACCUGCCUCCGAUGGAAAAGAAAAGGAAUAAUAUCUAGGCUCAAUCACAGCACAGCGUUUUUUGGCAUGCUAGCAGAUUUUCUUCAGGAAUUUCACCUGGAAUAUCCACCACAUCUUCCUCAAACCAAAGAUUGCCCAGACUCUUGCAGAGGGCCGCCAACCUCCGCUCUUCAACAUACUGAUUUUCCAUUUUCUUGUCUACACAAAUAGUAUCAAGAACUAUGAAAAUAAGCUGGUCUAAUUUUUGGAACCAGCCGAUGUGGGGAGCGAGGCUGAGAGUGGACGAAGGGAGCUUUGUUUAUGCGAAAUAAGGCUGAAUGGAGUUGACACCAGUAUGAUGAAGAUGGUUGGUGAGCGAAUGAGAAUGAUAUUUACUACAGAUCGGGCUCGCCUCAGAGUUAAUGAUGGGAUGAUGGAUUUUAGGGAUUUAUUGUUUUCACCAACAAUUUACUCUGAAUCGUUGGUACUGGGAUGGGAGAAAAGAUGAUUGAAGGAUUGAGGGGAUGAAGGGUUUCAAAGCUGUAGAUUUAAGACUACCCAAAUGAUAGGAGGGUGCUACUCAGUCGAUAGAGAGGGAUCUCCAUUGUCGGAGAGGGUAAAGUGAUUAGCUAGAUCAAAACCACUCAAAUCUAAGCCUAAGUCAGUCCGCUCUAUGUUGAUUUCUGAUUUUUUAUUUAUGUAUUUUUGUACUGAUCUUUGUGUUGAUUUUUCGAACAA